CGCGCGCAUACCUGGCGAGGCCACGAGGGGAUUCUGCGGGCCGAGCCCCGCCUGGGCUGCGCCGCCGCAGGCGGGAGAGGCUGAGGAUUCUUUUGGGAAGCCCCUCCGCCGGCUGUAACCCCAGGGCCUUGCCACCCUCCUGAUCACCGCAAGCACGGACCCCCCAGCACGCUGCGGAUGCCUGGUAUCCAACUGCACUUCUCCAUGUGUGCAUUGUCCCCUGAGCUGGCAAGAAGAUCCUACUAGUUGGUCUGCAUGCCAUGCCAGCUCGGCCUUGCACCCUGGGGGCCCAGCUGUUGUCCACACCAAGGGUGGCCUACAGAGGGAAGUGAGGACCUUGGGACUUCCUCCAGGACAGCCCUCGCUGUCCAAAUCUCCACCUGCUGCAGAGCUGCCUCCAGUCAAGCCCUUGUUUCCGGCUUUCUGUGCCCUAAAUAAACUUCCGCUAGGAUUGAGCCGUCAGCAUUCUGUGGUGGGCGUCGCUGCUGCAAGGUUGCCCUCGUGCACACAAGCUCCUCACAGGACUUCCAGGAUGAUAUGGAAGAGUAACUGAGAGCAGCCGCCCGGUGCUUCCCAACCUUAGAGGGAGGUCACGGGCAGUCUCCCUGCGAUGCCGGCCACAGGUGUGAGGAAGACAGUCCUUAUAGGAAAAUGCCCUCUCG
rnacentral:lncRNA from 1 species